rnacentral:rRNA from 1 species
UACGUAGGGGGCAAGCGUUGUCCGGAUUUAUUGGGCGUAAAGAGCUCGUAGGUGGUUCGGUAAGUCGGAUGUGAAAUCUCCAGGCUCAACCUGGAGGGGUCAUUCGAUACUGCCGUGACUAGAGUUCGGUAGGGGAGUGUGGAAUUCCUGGUGGAGCGGUGAAAUGCGCAGAUAUCAGGAGGAACACCGAUGGCGAAGGCAGGUCUCUGGGCCGAUACUGACGCUGAGGAGCGAAAGCGUGGGGAGCGAACAGG